ensembl:lncRNA
GGUUUCCUAAGGCCCCCCUCGGGGUCUCCAAGGGAUACAUCACCUUCCACUCCGAUUCUGUCGGGCUCCGCCACCUGUAAGCAGAGUCUCCCCUCCGGUGAUAUCCACAUUUCUAUCGAAGCAAUGACAAGCAAACAGGGUAUUGAUGGUUACACGAAAGUGACAGCCUGGAUUAUUUGUUCUUUUUACUUGUGCCACUACUCAGUUUUACGAUAUAUUUGGGACCAACAUGCAACUAUGCUAAAUGGCUUUGGGAGCUUUUCUGAAUGGGCCUAAAGUGAACUUCCUGGGGGACUGUGAAACGUUUGUGUCGUAUUGUUAUUCAGCUUUUAUAUCACCAAAUUAUGUUUCUUUUCUAGCACUGACACAAAUACAACUUUUUUUUUAAAUAGAGUGAGCAUUGCCACAUUGUUUUGACUGUUUGAUGUUGUUUCUUAUGAACUGCUCAAAGAAUUCAAGUUGUCGGUAGUUGUUUAAGGAGGUAUUUAUCUCUUUCCUUUUUCUUGAAUUCAUUGUACUUUAUUUUGCCUUUUAAUACCAGUGUGUUUUUUUGUUGUACGCACACAUUGGCUUUCAAACCAAACUCUGAAUGGACUUCAGGACAUGCCACAGUAUACAUGUUUUUCUUUUCUGAUGUACACCUUUUCUAUUAUAAACACAAGUUUGUUUUAUAUUUUUUAAGCACCCUUUGUCAAAACUGAGGCUUUUAACACCAAACUCUUUGUUUGCCUAAUAGUUUUAAAGUUACUGUGUGAUAUUGAGAUAUAACAUGAAGACCCCUAAACUCCUAAGGAGCAUGUAAAGUAGAUUGAAAUGUCAUAUAGAAGAAAGGAUAUUGGAUUAGGGUUUUGUUUAAUGGGACCGUUGCUUAGAACUUUUCCACCCAAUUCCCAUGCCAAUGUUUAUGUGUUACCCACAACUGUUACCCACCAUUACGUUGAAUAUUUCCAUAUAAAACAUUUGACGAAUGCAGCUGGAAAUAGUGCUUUGUCCCCAUCAACUGAGCGUGUCUGCCUGACCUCACCUCUUUGUUUCAGUAAUGUGUAAGGAAGCUCCAAAAAUUAUUUUAUUCUUUGAAUGCUCCUUAAGAAGGAACUUCUCAAAUAUGUAAAAUGGGGCAGAGGUUGAAUGGUCAAGCCUUUAAGCUGACCAGAUGUAGCACAUGUUGAAUUCUGAUGUUGUUCUUUGACCCUUUAAAGAUGUUAGCAACAAUUAGGAACAUUGUCAAAAGGAUGGGAAUGGCGUAUAGUAAAUACGCUACAACAAAAAGCAGAUCUGAUAUGUUAAGACUGAUGAUCUUCUAUUCCCAGAGCUUAAUUGACAAUGAGUAAUGGGAUUUAUUGUAGCCCCAUAAAUGUAAGCAAAUCUAAGCAUCCCCACAUAUGGAUUCAGGAAUGUGAGGAAAUUCAAGUUUGCAUUUAUUAAUUUUCUAUAUAUAUACAUUUGGAGAGUAAAAUGGUUCAAUGGUCAUUGUGACAAAGUAUAAAGGUCGAGGACGGUAAUGAUGAUGAUUAUUAGUGAGCAUAGUUUUGUGAUCUUCUUAUUUUACCCCCUCACUCUCAUUGCGUAAACUGCUUCAGAAAGCCUGUUGGUAAAUUCAUCAAGAAGUUUCCAUGUUUUCCAAAUGUGAAAAUGUGCUUACUAAAAGGAGGGAGAACGCUUUGAGAGAUAUUAGCAGACCCAACUGAGCGUGGACGUCUUAUGGACAGUAACUGCUAACCUAUUUGGGCAUUAAAAGGUUUUCAAAGAAGAUACAAGGUAAGGAUAACAUGAAAUUGAGAUGUACCCUUUGACAGCUAUACUAGCUGUAAACUUUUAUGGUAUUAUUCAAGUAAUAAAGUUGCACAUGUUUGACAUAUAUUCGUUUUAUCUAGUUUAUUUUGAAUUCUUAUGUAUUAGUGUUUCUCUCACCCAUUUCAGCCUAUUCGAUCGGACUGCAGUUAUUUUUAGCUGAAAUGUAUCCUCCUUUGGAAGCGUAACAUCACAUUCACCUGUCAAACUUUGCUUUGUUGCAGAUUUUUGCAUUUUGUUGUUUACAAUAUUACAUUUUGUAACAUUAAAAGAUUUAUGACUCAAAUAUGAACAAUGUUAGAUGUUAGGAUUUCUUUGUUCAAAUUAUAACUUUGUUAAAAGAUUACUGAUUAAAUUCACAAAGUGAGUGAUUUUAGAGUUA